GCAGGUUUUGGACAUUUAGUUUCUGUUUGUGACAUUUUUACUGUUUCCAUAAACGUAUUGCAAGACAAGGUCCUCAACUUAUGGUUGAUCUUGACCGACCGUACUCCAAAUUAAUCAACUCUGAAUCCUUCCAAAUUCACACUGAAUCCUUUUUUCAUUUACAUCUUUUUUAUGACAAAUAAAUGAGUGAAUUUCUAUUCAACUUAAGAACUUGGUAAAUUCAUUUCA